UCUGUCGUUUCCUUACUCAUAAUGUAUGGCUUCAGGACUUUUUGUCCUUUUUUUCCCUAUAGUAACUAUGUGCUUUCAUAUGGCAAAGAGCAGCGUGAACAUUCUGUACAUUUAUUCAGUCUUGGAACUCAUGCAGGUUAGUAAUUGAUAGCAGAAUUUUAAACUAUUCCUUUAGAAAUCCAGCUUUGGGAUUUGUAGCACAGCUGAAAUUUGACACAUGAACAGCAGGAGGUGGUGUUAACCAUACACCCUUUCUUGUGCUAAUUUAGCCUACUAUUAUUACACCCAAAACAAACUCUAUGUUCUCUCUAUAAGGAAAUGAGGGGAAGGUGAUGGUGAAGGUUUGUCCACACACAUCUCUUUUCUGAACACUGAAGUCAACAUGAUCAAGACUCUCAUCAGUAUUGCUUUUCUCUUCUGUCUCUCAGGUAUUUCAAACAGUCAAGAUGUGAAACAGAAUGAAACUGAUCUGAUCAAAUUUCCUGGACAAUCAGAAGAGCUCCACUGUUCUCAUAGUUCAUCUUCUUAUAAUGUCAUGCUCUGGUACAAACAAACACGUAGCAAAGGGUUGGAGCUCAUUGGACGCCUUGUGGGCUCUGGUGAAACAGUUGAGGAUAAAUUCAAAGAUAAAGCAAAUCUGGAUGGCAAUGCAAAUAAAAACUGUGUUUUAAAACUAAAGGAUCUUUCCUCUGAUGACAGUGCAGUGUACUUUUGCGCUGCUAGUUUACACAGUGCUGUGGGUUCCCUUCCUUCUCAGCAAAAACCCUGGUGUAUUAACAUGCAAUUACAAUGAGUGGAACCUGGAGCUUUCAAGCUUCAAAAACAGUGCAGAAGCAUCAUAAAACUAUCCUAAAAGUGCUCCAUAUUUUCUAACAUACAAUAGUUUUGUACGAUGGACAGCCUGAAAUGUAAAUCUCUGUUUUUA